CCUACGGGAGGCAGCAGUGGGGAAUAUUGCACAAUGGGGGAAACCCUGAUGCAGCGACGCCGCGUGAGUGAUGAAGUAUUUCGGUAUGUAAAGCUCUAUCAGCAGGGGAGAAAAUGACGGUACCUGACUAAUAAGCCCCGGCUCACUACGUGCCAGCAGCCGCGGUAAUACGUAGGGGGCAAGCGUUAUCCGGAUUUACUGGGUGUAAAGGGAGCGUAGACGGCUAAUCAAGUCAGAAGUGGAAACCCAGGGCUCAACCUUGGGAGUGCUUUUGAAACUAGGUAGCUAGAGUGAAGGAGAGGUAAGGGGAAUUCCUAGUGUAGCGGUGAAAUGCGUAGAUAUUAGGAGGAACACCAGUGGAGAAGGCGGCUUACUGGACUGUAACUGACGUUGAGGCUAGAAAGCGUGGGGAGCAAACAGGAUUAGAUACCCCGUGUAGUC
rnacentral:rRNA from 1 species